rnacentral:lncRNA from 1 species
UAGGACCAGUGUGAUUUGUGGGACAAGGCUAGCAGUGCUCUUCUUCAGCUGAAGUAAAUCUCGGCAAGUCUGAACCAGCUGCUAACUAGCAUCAGUGCUCCAGGUUCUGCAGUACAAUGAUUUCAAAGUAAUUUUGAAAACUUAUGGCUGGCUGGAGCAGGAUCAGCUCUUUGGAGAACUGGAAUCAACUGCUGAGCAUUGGAAAAUACAUGGAAUUGACUUCUAUUUGUAUCACCUGCAAGCCUGAAAGAAAAGGGAAUUGGGAAUUAUGCCUGCUGGGAAAAUGCAAGCAAAACAAAACAAAAUGAUGAAAGGAACCAGAGCAUCUGAUAAUAAAAUUAUCCUUUUCAACA